UAGUGCUUGAUACUAACUGAGGUAUCUAUAUCCUAGUCCUGUGUCAAAAGCUUCUGAUGUGUUGUGAUAGCUGGGUUUCAGAAGUGCAAUAUUAAAGCAAAAGACAUGAGUCUUUCAAGCCCAGUGUGUAAAGUUGUCCUCUGAGUUAUAACUCAAAGGCACAACU
ensembl:snoRNA